UUUGCGUUCGCGCUUUGGGAAGUUGCAUGCAGCCCUUUGGAGGAUCUGCACCCAGCGCGGGGCAGCCUGCAUGCGGUCCAGUGCCGAAGGACAGGAGAAGGUCACUUCCCGGAGAGCUCUGCAGAGCGUGCCACCACCAGUAGGCUCAAGAAGUAUUGGCUGCCUCCAUCCCUGCCUCUGCCCUGCCCCUGCCCAGCCUGUACUCACCUCUGCCAGCAGUUUCCAGAUUCAAGAUAAAUGCUCGGGAGCUCCACGGUAACCCUGUCCUUGGGAACCAUCCAUUCAUUCACCGUUCAGCAAACAUUGAUUGAGGGCCUAGAAAUCGACAGAAUCACAGAGAAGGAUUUCUUGUCCAGAAUCUUACCAGGUGUCUCAUGGAAAAAAAAAAAAAAAAGCAUUCUGUCCGUUCCUGGCCUUCUGCUGACCAAACUGCUCCAAUCCGGACCACAUGAGAGGCCAGAUGGGAAACAGUGCAUUUCAUCCACUCCAACCUCGUCCUCAGAACACCCUCUCCCCCCCUGCUUGAAAAGAAAAGCUGCCAUGCAAAUCAACGGUUA
rnacentral:lncRNA from 1 species